AUUGAACGCUGGCGGCAUGCUUUACACAUGCAAGUCGAACGGUAACAGGCCUUCGGUUGCUGACGCGUGGCGAACGGGUGGGUAAUGCAUCGGAACGUGCCCAGAGGUGGGGGAUAACGCAGCGAAAGCUGUGCUAAUCCCGCAUGUGAUCUGAGGAUGAAAGCGGGGGACCAGGCAGCAAUGUUUGGCCUCGCGCCUUUGGAGCGGCCGAUGUCCGAUUAGGUAGUUGGUGGGGUAAAGGCCUACCAAGCCGACGAUCUGUAGCUGGUCUGAGAGGACGACCAGCCACACUGGGACUGAGACACGGCCCAGACUCCUACGGGAGGCAGCAGUGGGGAAUUUUGGACAAUGGGCGCAAGCCUGAUCCAGCAAUGCCGCGUGCGGGAAGAAGGCCUUCGGGUUGUAAACCGCUUUUGUACGGAACGAAAAGGCUCUGGCUAAUACCUGGGGCUGAUGACGGUACCGGAAGAAUAAGCACCGGCUAACUACGUG
rnacentral:rRNA from 1 species